ensembl:lncRNA
AUUCAGUAGGGUCUCACCCUACACAUACAGUUUUGCAGCCUAUCCAAAAGGAGAUUAAGGCAUUUGUCAGAGCAACAGUUUAUUCCCCAUCUGCUGGUGGACCUGGAAGAGGCUGAGCCAAAGAGAGGAGGAGGAGGGAGAAGGGAAGCAGGAAGCGGAUACCAGGACUGCAGAUCUAUCAUGGGGGAAGGAACAGAUCCUUUAUUGGUGCAGCAGUGUCUGGGACUAGGAAAUAGGCCCAAAAGGUCAGACAAGUUUUGAGUGUCCAGAGUAACUGCAGUAGCCCUGGGUGCUGGAGAAUUGGCCCUGGAGCACGUGCAGAGAAGGACAAUGAAUCUGGUGAAUGGCUUGGAGCACAAGUCUGAUGAGGAGCAGCUGAGGGAACUGAGAUUGUUCAAUCUGAAGAAGAGGAGACUCAGGGGAGACCUCAUUGCACUCCUCAGACACCUGAAAGGAGGUUACAGCAAGGUGAGGAUUGGCCUCUUCUCCCAGCUCAGCACAAACAUCUCUCUCAUUUUCUACAAUCUGUGGGAUGACGUGUUCCACCCGCCAGGUGCAACAUGGUUGACCAGAAAAAAUGCAGUGAAUUACUAAAAAGAGAAGACUGUGAACAGGCCUAAGAGAAAAGAGUAACACCUGCUAAGUUACUCAAUUAGUAAAAAGUUGACGUUAGACUCUCCAAAAGCUUCCUACUUCUUUUGGUGGCUUCCCACCAGGACUGUUUUAUAUCGGUCCUUGUGGUAAGCAUGGAGCAGCUGGAGGGCAGUGAGCCUCUGUUGGAGUCAGCAGGAGAUCUCCUCCAGCCCUCGGUAGAGCAAGUGUUUGUCAGAGAACUGGGAUCCUGGUCAAGGAAGGCUGUUGUCAGACAGCUGUUUGAUGCAAAGCAGACUGAUAUAUGACGUGGUCCCUGUGGGAAGCUGAGGGAGAUGCACACAGGAGCCAGCCCACCCUCACCUGCCUCCCUUCCCUGUGUCACACUGUGACAUAUUCACCAUCCUCACGGAGCCUUCUGCCUUCCUUCGGUGCUGAUGGGCCAUCUCUCACCUCUGAGGAGUCUUUGAGGAAGGGUGUGUAGAAACUAGACGCAACUUCUGGCCACUGGAUGCUGAGAUGAGAAUUUGUCGUGCUAACCAAAUUAACUCCUUGUUGCCUUGUCCCUCUCCAUUUGUUUGCUGUAG